GGGCACUUAGUUUAGUGGUAUAAUAUUCGCUUCGCACUGAGCAAUCUCAAGCGCUUGCGAGAGGUCGUGGGUUCAAUUCCCACAGUGUCCA